UACGUAGGGACCGAGCGUUGUCCGGAAUCAUUGGGCGUAAAGAGCGUGUAGGCGGCCACUUAAGUCCUGCGUGAAAUCUUGCGGCUCAACCGCAAGCGGUCGUGGGAAACUGGGUGGCUAGAGUGCGGGAGAGGAGAGUGGAAUUCCUGGUGUAGCGGUGGAAUGCGCAGAUAUCAGGAAGAACACCCGUGGCGAAGGCGGCUCUCUGGAACGCAACUGACGCUGGGACGCGAAAGCGUGGGGAGCAAACAGG
rnacentral:rRNA from 1 species